rnacentral:misc_RNA from 1 species
CAGAGUUGCCAACUCACCAAACCACUGUGAACCCUACCUAACCGUUGCUUCGGCGGGAGGCCCCCCCCGCGUCCCCUGUAAUGGGCGGCCGCGGGGGCGCCCCUGGACCCCCCGCGGGUUCCCGCCGAAGGUAUCCGAAACCCUGUUAGCACAUGGCCUCUCUGAGUCUUUACUGAAUAAGUCA